GGCGAACGGGUGAGUAACACGUGGGCAAUCUGCCCUUCACUCUGGGACAAGCCCUGGAAACGGGGUCUAAUACCGGAUAUGACACGGGGUCGCAUGAUCUCCGUGUGGAAAGCUCCGGCGGUGAAGGAUGAGCCCGCGGCCUAUCAGCUUGUUGGUGGGGUGAUGGCCUACCAAGGCGACGACGGGUAGCCGGCCUGAGAGGGCGACCGGCCACACUGGGACUGAGACACGGCCCAGACUCCUACGGGAGGCAGCAGUGGGGAAUAUUGCACAAUGGGCGAAAGCCUGAUGCAGCGACGCCGCGUGAGGGAUGACGGCCUUCGGGUUGUAAACCUCUUUCAGCAGGGAAGAAGCGAGAGUGACGGUACCUGCAGAAGAAGCGCCGGCUAACUACGUGCCAGCAGCCGCGGUAAUACGUAGGGCGCAAGCGUUGUCCGGAAUUAUUGGGCGU
rnacentral:rRNA from 1 species